AAGAGGAGCUGAUGGGGAAUGUACUGUGUAUGCUUAUCUUAUUGAUUGUUAAAUAAAAUACUGUUUGGCCAAUGAGACAGCAAGUUAGACAGGACUAGGAGUCAAAGAGGAUGCUGGGAAAUGGAGUAGAUAAGUGGUGAUCCAGGCAGGAAGUGACAUAGCAAGGAGACUCAUAUCUAAGCGAGGAAACAGGAAGUGGCCCUUUUCCCGUUCGCCUCCUCCAGCAGCAGGAUGUGAUCCACCGGCAAGGAGGGACGCCAAUAAGGUGUCUGAUAAGAUAAGUCUUAUAACAUAUAUAGAUUUAUGAUAAUUAAGACUGAGCUAACAGAUGAGAAUCCUAGUCAUUGGCCAAGCUGAGAUGAUACAGCCUUACAGACUACAAAAACAAGGAUGCGGUCAGGUUUCUGUUUUAUUAUGAUCCCUAUGGUAUAAACAUCGCCCCCAAUCAGCAGGAAGCAGUUUAGAAAGAACGACACCCAUAUUCCCAAAUAGUGUUUAUAAAUGUUUGUUUUCAUUUAAAUGGGGUUAGUUAUGGAUGAUAAUGAGCGUAGUCAGUCUCUUUUUAAAUAAAGAAAAGGGGGAAUUGGAUAUAGGAAUGAAUACUUUGCAUUGGUAUAGAUUUUCACUUAUUGAUACAACUUUAAAGUCAAUUUUGUGAUAUGUAUAUGUCUCCUCUUACUUAGGUAUUGUGUUUAUACAGAUCUUUUACCUAUAAUAGUCAGAACUUAUAAUUAGGUUAGUUAGGUUUUCUAGAUAUACAGAGAUGUAUUUGAGAUGGAUAGGUAUUCUUCAAACUUUUCAAAGACCUACAGAAAUAUGGCAUUUAAAUGGUUUAGGGUUUUUCUUGGCAGUAAGACACAACUGCUCCUGGCACACCAAUUACGUCAGAAAGGAAGGUGGACAUUGAAGAAACUUGUUAUGGAGUUUGCUUUCAACAUGGCAAGAUUAGCCAUUUGGGCAAGAAACUGCUCUUUCCUGGACUGUUUGUUGCUGUAUAAACUGGACAUACAGGACCCAUAAGAAAGUGACUGCUGAACUUACAAAACAAGACAGUACUGAAGGGUUCCUGUUGAAAUGGAAAAGUGUGCCAGACACACUGUGGCCUAUGGGCUGAAGAUGGAUGCCCCAACGUUACAGAGGAACUUUGGGUGACUGUCCAGGAGGAGGGCUCCCAUACACCAAGACCACGACAUCUUGCUUUCCUCCUGAGCUGCCCAAUGGAUAACAUUUAGUUUAAUGUAACUCACAACAAACAACCCGUGGCUGGUGCAUGCGUGCGGACUCCCUCCUGUGGUAUGAAGCACAAGUGUGUCCCCGUGAUAUAUAAUACAAAGCUCUGCUAUCAAAACCAGCUCCAGGUUAUAAGGGACCACUCCAGGAGAUGGAGCCCAAACCUGACGCUGCUUGGGUGGCCAGGAACCAGAGACUACAUAGAGAUGCCAGCAGAUGGACCAACUACGGAGGGUGAUCCACAGCCAGCUAAUACACAAAGUGAGAGGCCCUGAGACACACAACUCUUAACAAGCUGUCUCCAUCAAAUCCCUCCCUUCAGAACUCAGGGAACCCCUCAGAAGGGGAGACAGACAGUGAGGAUGGAAGACACCAGGAGAACAAGGACCUCUAAAACAUCAGAGCAAAGCUCAUAUGAACUCACAGAGACUGAAGCAGCAAUCAUGGGAUCUACACAGGUCUGCACCAGGUCCUCUGCAUAUAUAUUCAUCAGUUUAGUACUUUAUUCUCUUGGAGCGCUUUUAUUUUUCUGUUAGCUUGUCUUAUCCAACUUUUAUACGAUGUUUUUUUUUUUGUUUUAUCUUACUGUAUUUUAUUUUGUUGAAAUACUUUAAAAAAAUGUGUUUAAGCUACAUUUAGAAUUCAGGAAAAGUAAUCUCACAGCUUACUUGCCCUCGUUUUUUUGAUUCAACUAAGCUUUUAAGCUGAAUAAAUUAAAGUCUCUAAGGAAAAAAUAAAGUUUCUAAGAAAGAAAAGAAA
ensembl:lncRNA